rnacentral:rRNA from 1 species
CAGCAGCCGCGGUAAUACGUAGGGUGCAAGCGUUAAUCGGAAUUACUGGGCGUAAAGCGUGCGCAGGCGGUUAUAUAAGACAGAUGUGAAAUCCCCGGGCUCAACCUGGGAACUGCAUUUGUGACUGUAUAGCUAGAGUACGGCAGAGGGGGAUGGAAUUCCGCGUGUAGCAGUGAAAUGCGUAGAUAUGCGGAGGAACACCGAUGGCGAAGGCAAUCCCCUGGGCCUGUACUGACGCUCAUGCACGAAAGCGUAAGGAGCAAACAGGAUUAGAUACCCCGGUAGUCCCUGUCUCUUAUAC